GGAGAGGUGGCCGAGCGGUUGAAGGCACCGGUCUUGAAAACCGGCAAAGUGUAAAAGCUUUCGAGGGUUCGAAUCCCUCCCUCUCCGCCA
rnacentral:tRNA from 1 species